AACAACAUUAGGAAGGGCAAACGACUGCAAAUGCCCUCUGCUUCUCCUUCAAGCUCAUCGUGAGGUUCUAUCUCCAGAGUUUUUCGGCAACAGCGGUUCGACGAUUACGACUGUAAGUUUCAGGAGAUCAACCACCAACUUGUCCAGCUUCAAGUGGAAGGUCGGAAGUCCUCCAAUGACUAUGACUUCCACACCCCCCAGCCUCUUUCUUGACACAUCUUGGACCAACAGAUCUCGGAUCAAGAUACCGUAAGUGGAGCCAUAUGACAGCUCCACCGAUCUGAUCAACCACCUUGAGAGCUAUAAACCUCUCAUGACAAUUCAGGGGGCAACCAACGUCCUUUUGUGUAUCGGCUUCCUGGCAACUCUUCGAAAAGCUGCUCGAGCCCAGUACUCUGGACUUC
rnacentral:lncRNA from 1 species